UACGUAGGGCGCAAGCGUUAUCCGGAAUUAUUGGGCGUAAAGAGCUCGUAGGCGGUUUGUCGCGUCUGCCGUGAAAGUCCGGGGCUCAACUCCGGAUCUGCGGUGGGUACGGGCAGACUAGAGUGAUGUAGGGGAGACUGGAAUUCCUGGUGUAGCGGUGGAAUGCGCAGAUAUCAGGAGGAACACCGGUGGCGAAGGCGGGAUCCUGGGCCGUAACUGACGCUGAGGAGCGAAAGCGUGGGGAGCGAACAGG
rnacentral:rRNA from 1 species